rnacentral:piRNA from 1 species
UCUUUGCCGUCUCCAGCAAGAGGUGG